UACGUAGGUGGCAAGCGUUGUCCGGAAUCAUUGGGCGUAAAGCGCGUGUAGGCGGCUCGGUAAGUCUGCUGUGAAAGUCCAGGGCUCAACCCUGGGAUGCCGGUGGAUACUGUCGAGCUCGAGUCCGGAAGAGGCGAGUGGAAUUCCUGGUGUAGCGGUGAAAUGCGCAGAUAUCAGGAGGAACACCAAUGGCGAAGGCAGCUCGCUGGGACGUGACUGACGCUGAGACGCGAAAGCGUGGGGAGCAAACAGG
rnacentral:rRNA from 1 species